ensembl:lncRNA
GUGAACAUGGGAAAGAACAGUGACAUGCACAAGUUAGGCAAUCUCCUGCCACUGUACUGCAAUGACCUCAACCAUCAAUAUUGUGCAAGAUAGAGCACGGGUUGCACGUGCUGCAGACCAAAAGGGCAGAAAACCAAGGAAACCAAAUAUUCCCACUGACCUGCUACAGAGUCAGACACAAGAAUGAGACUUGCACAGAGAGGGAGCUGAUUUGUCUUCUGUUUGUUGUCAGUCACGGUCUAGCUGAGCCACAAGCUUGUGGAGCAGAAAAGGCCACAGAACUGCUAUUCUUCAUUGCUCUUGAACCAGCCAUGACGAAGUCCAGCACUUAACACUGGUUAAUCAGUGUUGUUCAACAGUGCCACUGGAAAAUGCUUUAUUUCAUCUUUGGACUGGAUUCCUCAAAACUUCCUCUGUCAUUCAUCUGUUAAGUGUGUCUGUGAAGUGAUCAAACGUGAGAUGUCCCUGUGCGUCUGGUCCCUAAGGGAACCUAGACUGGAACAGCAAAUAGUCACUAACCAUUUUCCCCAACAUUCUUCAUGCUUUUCUCACUGGUUAUACGAAUCACGUGAUGUGAAAAAACUUGUGCAGCAAGUAUGCUCUGGUCAUUUACGUUUCGGAAGAACAAUCACCGUCGGAAAGAAGAUGUUAGAAAGUAACACACCCACAAUAUCUAACCUUUAUCUUACUCAUGAACUGUGUCUGAAGGACCAAAGAUAAGUGGGUAGGAGGCAACAAACUGCUAGAUUAAAAUUGUUAUGACAGGCUGGAUCUGGCUCAUAAAACUUUUUUGUUUUUUAAGGCUUUCUGAUAGAGUUAAGCUUCCUAGCUUGUGCAAAUAGUGUCGUAUAACUGGCAGACGCACUUGAAUUGAUGAGAGGUUCUUGGCUAUCUUAGAAAAUUGGUGUAGUUGCCUUGGAUUCACAAUAAAUGCCUAGAAGACAAAGUGAUUGUAUCUAGAAAAAGGGAAAACAUAUUAAGGGUUGAAAUGAAGCAGGGAUAAUCUUUUAAUACACAAUCUUGUUUAUACACCUAGGAACCUUGACCAGUGUUGAUGAGCUUACAAGAGUAGAUGCUUCAGCCACAGGAGUUGCAAAGUUUGAUAUAAUUCCACGUUUCAUAAAAAUAAGAUCUUUGGAGAGAAAUUUACCUGAAGUGAAAGUUUGAAUUUGGGAGACAAUGACUGUUUGUCAUCUUGCAAACUAGGCAUGUGGCUGCUGAUCAGGAAGACUCUUUCUCUUGGGUCCACCAAAUAGCUGUUCUUUUAUAUUAAGUCUGCUCAAUUCCAUGCCCCAUUACAGGAUCCUCUGCAUGGUUUUUCUAAUGUCCAAGGUGCUAGUGCCAGCACUGUGUAGUCAGAACCUCUGAAGAAAUACUAUGUACCCACUUCAGCAAGCAAGAGAACAAUACUGAGAAAUACUGGAGACAUCAAAUCCCUGAGACCUUACUAAAAUUUAAACAGCAUUUACUGAAUCUGUGCUUUUUCCGGGUAGUGGCAAUAAAUUUUGUCUGUAGAAUUGUUUGGAUUGGAGACACAUUCUUUCCUCAUGAAUAUUUUUAAACAGGACACAUUCCAGAUGCUUGCUCACUGUGUCCCAG